ACACGCGAGUGCGAAGAAGGAGCAGCUGAAAAGUGCCAUCACGGGUUUCAUCUUGAAUUUCGCUGCCAGUACCAGCUCCAAAAGCACAACCCCGUGCCUCGUAGACCAACAGGCACUUUUCGAACUUGUGCAUGUAGGAAACAGAAGGUGGUUGCACGCAUCCGUGUUAUUAUUUAUUUUUUUUUGACCUCAAAUAGUAGCAUGCAUUUCAAAAACAGUACUUAGGGCUACUUAUUUAGCAAAGCGCAGCGGGGCAUGCAGCAGCCGGAGCUCGUAGCCUUGUGCGAGCUUCCUAUAAAGAGGAAGAAAUGCACAGCCAUCAUUCAUUCACUACUUCUUUAUGCCAUAAAGAAGCAUUUAUAAAGAGGCUUUGGACCGACACUGAGAGUGCACUGUCUUGUGCAACCCAAGUCGCUGGGGUUGGUUCCCAGGCCGGCAAUGGAACCCAGGCCGCAGCAGCGGGAGCACCCAGGCCUAACCAGUAGGCCUCCAGGUACCCAGCAUAUUAUAAUAGUAUGUUAGCUAACAUCAGACAGGAUCUGAUAUCUGAUCCAGCAUUUUCUGCUGAUAUGGACAUAGGAUUGUAUCCAUCUCUAAUAUUGUAUCUGUCAUAACAUUGUGACUGGCAGUAUGUAAAUCUACCUCUUUUUUUUUUUUUUUUUAAUUUAAAAAAAAAAGAAAUUCCAAGAUGAUAAACAUGCUAGAGUAAAUUUAUUUAUUUACUUAUUUUGCCAUAAGGGUGUGCAAAAGUAAUUUUGUGAAUGUGUGCGAAUGUGCAUUUUUGUGGGUGUAUAUUAUACCCCUGUCAUUAAGGCUGAAACUUGAGUCUAGCUCUGAUGUCUGAGCUCCCGUCACAUCCAGCAGCAACUUGCUGGACACUCCCAUGCACAGAGAUUCCUUUAGACACAAUUCUUUGAAAACACAAAGAAAAAAUAUUUAUUUACACUUUGUUCCAGACCUGCCUGAUUCAUUCUGAUGCUGUACUUCUCCUUGAAGCUUCCUGCACUUGAGGCACUUGAGCCAUAUUCCACAUGGAUACCCUAAAGAUUUGAACUUCCCAAAAACAGUUCUUGCCCAGGUUUCACCCUUGUAGACAAUCUCACCUGGAGCCUAUAGAUUUGUACCUAGAAAUGCUGCUAGAUGUAAUCAGAAAGACUGCCCUGUGUUUAUAAUGAACAUCAGCAUCUUUUCAACUGCUCCUCAUGCUUUGUCACACACUCAGAGGAGAGUGCUAUCUGCCCUCUUCUGCAUACACGAGCUCACAGAUGCCCAGGACUGAUUAGUGUCGCUCUGCUUGAAAGGACAGAAAAUAAUUCCAUCCCUCCUACCCAGACAGCAUGGCCAGUUUUGCUCUGUUGGACUCCUGGCCAUGGAUCACUGUGGAAUCUGUUCCGCUUUCUAUUGCGGCUCUCUCAAGGUUUCUUUCCUCAUGACAUCUCAGGAACAUGGUACUUUCCCCCCUCAUCUCUGGCUUCCUCAACAGGGAUCUAAAUCUACAUCUGGAUUUCUGUAAAGCUUCUUUGUUAUAUUGUCAAUUGUUAAAAGCGCUAUACAAAAUUAAAAUUGAAUUGAAUUAUGAUACACCCCCUUUUC